GACAGCGUUGGCCCGAGUGGUUAGGCGAUGGACUUGAAAUCCAUUGGGGUAACCUGCGUGAGUUCAAAUCUCACAGCUGUCG
rnacentral:tRNA from 1 species